CUAGCUGUAAACGAUGGAUACUAGGCGUUGAGAGUAUCGACCCUCUCAGUGUCGUAGCUAACGCGUUAAGUAUCCCGCCUGGGGAGUACGCGCGCAAGCGUGAAACUCAAAGGAAUUGACGGGGGCCCGCACAAGCGGUGGAGUAUGUGGUUUAAUUCGAUGCAACGCGAAGAACCUUACCAGGGCCUGACAUGUCCGGAACCCUGCCCAAAGGCGGGGGUGCCUACGGGAACCGGAACACAGGUGGUGC
rnacentral:rRNA from 1 species